GCAGUCGAGCGAGCUUGCCUAGAUGAUUUUAGUGCUUGCACUAAAUGAAACUAGAUACAAGCGAGCGGCGGACGGGUGAGUAACACGUGGGUAACCUGCCCAAGAGACUGGGAUAACACCUGGAAACAGAUGCUAAUACCGGAUAACAACACUAGACGCAUGUCUAGAGUUUGAAAGAUGGUUCUGCUAUCACUCUUGGAUGGACCUGCGGUGCAUUAGCUAGUUGGUAAGGUAACGGCUUACCAAGGCAAUGAUGCAUAGCCGAGUUGAGAGACUGAUCGGCCACAUUGGGACUGAGACACGGCCCAAACUCCUACGGGAGGCAGCAGUAGGGAAUCUUCCACAAUGGACGAAAGUCUGAUGGAGCAACGCCGCGUGAGUGAAGAAGGGUUUCGGCUCGUAAAGCUCUGUUGGUAGUGAAGAAAGAUAGAGGUAGUAACUGGCCUUUAUUUGACGGUAAUUACUUAGAAAGUCACGGCUAACUACGUGCCAGCAGCCGCGGUAAUACGUAGGUGGCAAGCGUUGUCCGGAUUUAUUGGGCGUAAAGCGAGUGCAGGCGGUUCAAUAAGUCUGAUGUGAAAGCCUUCGGCUCAACCGGAGAAUUGCAUCAGAAACUGUUGAACUUGAGUGCAGAAGAGGAGAGUGGAACUCCAUGUGUAGCGGUGGAAUGCGUAGAUAUAUGGAAGAACACCAGUGGCGAAGGCGGCUCUCUGGUCUGCAACUGACGCUGAGGCUCGAAAGCAUGGGUAGCGAACAGGAUUAGAUACCCUGGUAGUC
rnacentral:rRNA from 1 species